rnacentral:rRNA from 1 species
UACAGAGGUCUCAAGCGUUGUUCGGAUUCAUUGGGCGUAAAGGGUGCGUAGGCGGCGCCGCAAGUCGGGUGUGAAAUUUCGGAGCUUAACUCCGAAACUGCAUUCGAUACUGCGGUGCUUGAGGACUGGAGAGGAGACUGGAAUUCAUGGUGUAGCAGUGAAAUGCGUAGAGAUCAUGAGGAAGACCAGUGGCGAAGGCGGGUCUCUGGACAGUUCCUGACACUGAGGCACGAAGGCCAGGGGAGCAAACGGG